rnacentral:rRNA from 1 species
GCAAGUCGAGCGCACCCUUCGGGGCGAGCGGCGGACGGGUUAGUAACGCGUGGGAACGUACCCUUGUCUACGGAAUAGCCUUUGGAAACGAAGAGUAAUACCGUAUACGCCCUUCGGGGGAAAGAUUUAUCGGAGAAGGAUUAGCCCGCGUUAGAUUAGAUAGUUGGUGGGGUAAUGGCCUACCAAGUCACCGAUCUAUAGCUGGUUUGAGAGGAUGAUC